rnacentral:rRNA from 1 species
GACGAACGCUGGCGGCGUGCUUAACACAUGCAAGUCGAACGGAAAGGCCCUGCUUUUGUGGGGUGCUCGAGUGGCGAACGGGUGAGUAACACGUGAGUAACCUGCCCUUGACUUUGGGAUAACUUCAGGAAACUGGGGCUAAUACCGGAUAGGAGCUCCUGCUGCAUGGUGGGGGUUGGAAAGUUUCGGUGGUGGGGGAUGGACUCGCGGCUUAUCAGCUUGUUGGGGGGGUAGUGGCUUACCAAGGCUUUGACGGGUAGCCGGCCUGGGAGGGUGACCGGCCACCUUGGGACUGAGGUACGGCCCAGAAUCCUACGGGCGGCAGCAGUGGGGAAUAUUGCACAAUGGGCGGAAGCCUGAUGCAGCAACGCCGCGUGCGGGAUGACGGCCUUCGGGUUGUAAACCGCUUUCGACUGUGACGAAGCGUGAGUGACGGUAAUGGGUAAAGAAGCAACGGCUAACUACGUG